rnacentral:rRNA from 1 species
CCACGGGUGGCUGCAGUGGGGAAUAUUGGACAAUGGGCGAAAGCCUGAUCCAGCCAUGCCGCGUGUGUGAAGAAGGCCUUCGGGUUGUAAAGCACUUUCAGUGGGGAAGAAAGCCUUGGGGCUAAUACCCUCGAGGAAGGACAUCACCCACAGAAGAAGCACCGGCUAACUCCGUGCCAGCAGCCGCAGUAAUACGGAGGGUGCGAGCGUUAAUCGGAAUUACUGGGCGUAAAGCGCGCGUAGGCGGUCUGAUAAGCCGGUUGUGAAAGCCCCGGGCUCAACCUGGGAACGGCAUCCGGAACUGUCAGGCUAGAGUGCAGGAGAGGAAGGUAGAAUUCCCGGUGUAGCGGUGAAAUGCGUAGAGAUCGGGAGGAAUACCAGUGGCGAAGGCGGCCUUCUGGACUGACACUGACGCUGAGGUGCGAAAGCGUGGGUAGCAAACAGGAUUAGAUACCCCAGUAGUC